rnacentral:rRNA from 1 species
ACGGGAGGCAGCAGUGGGGAAUAUUGCACAAUGGGCGAAAGCCUGAUGCAGCGACGCCGCGUGAAUGAAGAAGUAUUUCGGUAUGUAAAGUUCUAUCAGCAGGGAAGAUAAUGACGGUACCUGACUAAGGAGCACCGGCUAAAUACGUGCCAGCAGCCGCGGUAAUACGUAUGGUGCAAGCGUUAUCCGGAUUUACUGGGUGUAAAGGGAGCGCAGGCGGCCUAGCAAGUCUGAAGUGAAAUCCCGGGGCUCAACCCCGGAACUGCUUUGGAAACUGUUAGGCUAGAGUGUCGGAGGGGUAAGCGGAAUUCCUAGUGUAGCGGUGAAAUGCGUAGAUAUUAGGAGGAACACCAGUGGCGAAGGCGGCUUACUGGACGAUAACUGACGCUGAGGCUCGAAAGCGUGGGGAGCAAACAGGAUUAGAUACCCUGGUA